rnacentral:rRNA from 1 species
CACCGCCCGUCACACCAUGGGAGUUGGUUUCACCCGAAGGCAGUGCGCUAACCGCAAGGAGGCAGCUGGCCACGGUGGGAUCAGCGACUGGGGUG